CUUUGAGGAAUUAAACAGUAGUUUUGAAAAUUUCCGACAAUGGCGAGCCGGAAAUUGCUAAAGUCAUUGCUAAAUACUUCCACAUCGAGGUGCAACCCGAUGAUACUAUUUCAAACAUAAUUUGUGGAAAGUGUUUUCGGAAUAUAUUCGAAUGCCAUAGAUUUUGGUUGAGUAUAUAUGAGAAACAGAAAACACUAAAAAAACACAUCUGGUACGUACACAAAUAAAACAAAAUUCUUCUAUUGACUGUAAAAAUAAUGAGUUACGUGAGCCGGAAAUUGACAUGGGAGUUGUUCAACCUAAUAUUUGCGCAAAGGGAUUUGAAUUCGUGGCUGCUGAAAUGAAGGAUGACGACAUUAAUAUUUCUCCGAGAUUUAAUAUUGACUGCAUUAAAUCCAGCUAUCGAUGAAUUUUCAUCAGAAGAUGGAAGGGAAUUAAAAGCUACUAACAAACGGCAAUACACUAAGAGGACUGUUAAAAAACCAAACCAAAUAAAUCAGAGAAGUUUAAAAUUUCACUGUCACCAAAGAUAUUGAGGAAGAGAAAUUAACGCAAUGAUAAUGAAGACACCGAUUCUAAAAUAAAAGAAAAACUAAAGAAAAAAAAGAUAUAAAAGCUUUAAUUCGGGAAUUGGACGAAUUUAUAGUAGAAAACACUCAACUAAGUUGUUGCUUAUGUUCGGAACCUCUUAACCUGUUAAGUGAUUAUGUCGUAUAUAUGCGUCAAUU